rnacentral:misc_RNA from 1 species
ACACUUGAUCCUGGGUCACGUUUAAAAGAUGGGUGUUUAAGGGCUGUGGACGCGCCGCGCUCCCGANNAGAGUGUGCAAACUACUGCGCAGGAGAGGCUGCGGCGAGACCGCCACUGUAUUUCGGAGACGGCCACCCGCUAAGGGAGGGCCGAUCCCCAACGCCGACCCCCCGGAGGGGUUCGAGGGUUGAAAUGACGCUCGGACAGGCAUGCCCGCCAGAAUACUGGCGGGCGCAAUGUGCGUUCAAAGAUUCGAUGAUUCACUGAAUUCUGCAAUUCACAUUACUUAUCGCAUUUCGCUGCGUUCUUCAUCGAUGCCAGAACCAAGAGAUCCGUUGUUGAAAGUUUUGAUUCAUUUUCGAAACGCCUACGAGAGGCGCCGAGAAGGCUCAGAUUAUAAAAAACCCGCGAGGGGGUAUACAAAAAGAGUUUUGGUUGGUCCUCCGGCGGGCGCCUUGGUCCGGGGCUGCGACGCACCCGGGGCAGAGAUCCCGCCGAGGCAACAGUUUGGUAACGUUCACAUUGGGUUUGGGAGUUGAAAACUCGGUAAUGAUCCCUCCGCUGGUUCACCAACGGAGACCUUGUUACCACUUUUACUUCCCCCCCGACCCUGUCCCCGGCGGAGGAACCUUCUAAGGUUGCAAACGUUUUAUACUAUAACAUAACAGUUUUCCACGGGAGAGGCCUCAGCCGCUCGUCGUCCACUUUGCCCUUGCCCAUAGCGGUUUUUUCUCCUUUGGCGGGCUUUUUUUAUUUAGUCUGGUUUAUGGAUCAGGCCAGUCGUGUAGCUCUGUGGGGGUCGCGACAACCUCCGUCCCACACGCUCUCCUCUUCGCACUACCUCUUUGCCAACCGGCCCAACCAAUCGCG